rnacentral:snoRNA from 1 species
ACCUCCUGGCAAUGGGCAAGGAGACACCUGAUUGGUGGUGUUGCUCUUAUAUCAGUCAGGAGCAAAGCAGACGUACAGCCCAUAGUUCAUCCUAGCUUGAUGCAUCCAGAGGGG